rnacentral:rRNA from 1 species
UUCGGAAUCUUGAGAGCGGCGCACGGGUGCGGAACACGUGUGCAACCUGCCUUUAUCUGGGGGAUAGCCUUUCGAAAGGAAGAUUAAUACCCCAUAAUAUAUUGAGUGGCAUCACUUGAUAUUGAAAACUCCGGUGGAUAGAGAUGGGCACGCGCAAGAUUAGAUAGUUGGUGAGGUAACGGCUCACCAAGUCAAUGAUCUUUAGGGGGCCUGAGAGGGUGAUCCCCCACACUGGUACUGAGACACGGACCAGACUCCUACGGGAGGCAGCAGUGAGGAAUAUUGGACAAUGGGUGAGAGCCUGAUCCAGCCAUCCCGCGUGAAGGACGACUGCCCUAUGGGUUGUAAACUUCUUUUAUACUGGGAUAAACCUACCCUUCGUGAGGGUAGCUGAAGGUACAGUAUGAAUAAGCACCGGCUAACUCCGUGCCAGCAGCCGCGGUAAUACGGAGGGUGCAAGCGUUAUCCGGAUUUAUUGGGUUUAAAGGGUCCGUAGGCGGACUCGUAAGUCAGUGGUGAAAUCUCAUAGCUUAACUAUGAAACUGCCAUUGAUACUGCGGGUCUUGAGUAAAGUAGAAGUGGCUGGAAUAAGUAGUGUAGCGGUGAAAUGCAUAGAUAUUACUUAGAACACCAAUUGCGAAGGCAGGUCACUAUGUUUUAACUGACGCUGAUGGACGAAAGCGUGGGGAGCGAACAGGAUUAGAUACCCUGGUAGUCCACGCCGUAAACGAUGCUAACUCGUUUUUGGGUUUUCGGAUUCAGAGACUAAGCGAAAGUGAUAAGUUAGCCACCUGGGGAGUACGUUCGCAAGAAUGAAACUCAAAGGAAUUGACGGGGGCCCGCACAAGCGGUGGAUUAUGUGGUUUAAUUCGAUGAUACGCGAGGAACCUUACCAAGGCUUAAAUGGGAAUUGACAGGUUUAGAAAUAGAUCCUUCUUCGGACAAUUUUCAAGGUGCUGCAUGGUUGUCGUCAGCUCGUGCCGUGAGGUGUUAGGUUAAGUCCUGCAACGAGCGCAACCCCUGUCACUAGUUGCCAUCAUUCAGUUGGGGACUCUAGUGAGACUGCCUACGCAAGUAGAGAGGAAGGUGGGGAUGACGUCAAAUCAUCACGGCCCUUACGCCUUGGGCCACACACGUAAUACAAUGGCCGGUACAGAGGGCAGCUACUAUGCGAAUAGAUGCGAAUCUCGAAAGCCGGUCUCAGUUCGGAUUGGAGUCUGCAACUCGGACU